rnacentral:lncRNA from 1 species
CUUGUAAUUGCGUUGACCAUCAUCUACACGGUGAGGUAGUUCAGCAGCAGGUGAAACUGAUAACUUGUAGUUGCGUUGACCAUCAUCUGCACGGUGAGGUAGUUCAGCCAUAGGUGAAACUGAUGACUUGUAGUUGCGUUGACCAGCAUCUAUACGGUGAGGUAGUUCAUUAGUGGCAGGUAAAGCUGAUAACUUGUAGUUGCGUUGGCCAUCAUCUACACGGUGAGGUAGUUCAGCCACAGGUGAAACUGAUGACUUGUAGUUGCGUUGACCAGCAUCCGUACGGUGAGGUAGUUCAUUAGUGGCAGGUAAAGCUGAUAACUUGUAGUUGCGUUGACCAUCAUCUACACGGUGAGGUAGUUCAGCCACAGGUGAAACUGAUGACUUGUAGUUGCGUUGACCAGCAUCCGUANGGUGAGGUAGUUCAUUAGUGGCAGGUAAAGCUGAUAACUUGUAGUUGCGUUGACCAUCAUCUACACGGUGAGAUAGUUCAGCCAUAGGUGAAACUGAUGACUUGUAGUUGCGUUGACCAGCAUCCGUANGGUGAGGUAGUUCAUUAGUGGCAGGUAAAGCUGAUAACUUGUAGUUGCGUUGNCCAUCAUCUACACGGUGAGNUAGUUCAGCCANAGGUGAAACUGAUGACUUGUAGUUGCGUUGACCAGCAUCCGUACGGUGAGGUAGUUCAUUAGUGGCAGGUAAAGCUGAUAACUUGUAGUUGCGUUGGCCAUCAUCUACACGGUGAGGUAGUUCAGCCACAGGUGAAACUGAUGACUUGUAGUUGCGUUGACCAGCAUCCGUACGGUGAGGUAGUUCAUUAGUGGCAGGUAAAGCUGAUAACUUGUAGUUGCGUUGGCCAUCAUCUACACGGUGAG